rnacentral:rRNA from 1 species
UACGGAGGGUGCAAGCGUUGCUCGGAAUUAUUGGGCGUAAAGGGUAGGUAGGUGGUCUCAUUUGUCUGGGGUGAAAGCCUUGAGCUUAACUCAAGAAGUGCCCUAGAAACGGUGAAGACUAGAGUUCUGGAGAGGGUCGUGGAAUUCCCGGUGGUAGCGGUGAAAUGCGUAGAGAUCGGGAGGAACACCAGAGGCGAAGGCGGCGACCUGGACAGAUACUGACACUCAACUACGAAAGCGUGGGGAGCAAACAGG